rnacentral:ncRNA from 2 species
CUAUCAUCGAGAAAGGUGGAGGGACUGGCCCUGAGAAGCCUUGGCAACCGUCAUUGACCGUCAGUGAUUCAAUGGAUUGCAUUGAUUCAUGUAUUGAGGUAAUGAUUGGUGCCAAUUCCAUCCCGGUUGAAGGCCGGGAAAGAUGAAG